CUCCUUUCUGCUAAUAAGUGUGUUUUCAGAUUCUGGGUAACAGAUUACAUGCUUUAAAGCUCUGAAACUAAGAUAUAUUUUAACAGGUUUUAAGCUAUGAUAUUUGAUUCUUCAGGGGGCCCAUAGUCAGAAAGUCAAACAAACUAGAGCGCAGCUCUUUUUGCAAAGACCUUGGGUUGUGGUUAAUCGAAACAGCAGAGUCUGCAAUACAUGCGUACUGACUUGGCCAAGUUCUAUGUUUUGUUUAAGUCAGUGGUGAUGGGGGAAAACUAUCUGAUCUCUAGAAAGCUUCAGCUCUACUUUUCUUUUGGAAACACUUUCACUGUAGAGUAUCAAAGUCUCUGUCUUAUUACUUAUAUGAAGAAUAAGAGCAAAGUGAAUUUUGGAAUGAAACUAAAUUUCAUACCAUGUGAACUCAUGCUGGAAUAAGAGCUCACAUAAUCAUUCCCUUUUCCAAGAGUUCUGUUGGUUCUGCUCUGUCAUUUUUCAGAAGGGAGAAACAACAAUAAAUGGUGCCUACUUCUACAUGCAGACCGCAUUUUACAACAACAGCUCCUGUGGGCUAAUUGCAUUGGAGGGUCUGAAGUAAUUCAAGUAUUACUGGGAGCACGGUGGGUGAAGAGCGUCGUAUUUCACAGCUGAGAAGGAAUAAAUUGACUCUAGGCUUGAGCCUUGAGGGUGGAAAACCAGGAGAAGCACACAGCAGCCAUUCCACUACAAACACCCUGGUAUUUCUGUGCGGUGAUAGAUGUUACAGCUCUUACACAUAGAAACGGAAAAUGUCUUUCCUUGUGUUCAUAAGAGAGUACUUGUUCUCUAAUUCAAAUGAACUAAAACAAACAUAAAAUAAGUUUCAAUGAAGAGCUAAGUCAGCAAUGCUAUUAGACUCUUUGGAUUUGCACCUAGUACGAAUCAGAGAAAGCAAGUAUGUGAAUCAUCCUGCAACAUAUCAGCUUAAGGCAACAAAG
rnacentral:lncRNA from 1 species